rnacentral:rRNA from 1 species
UGGGGCGGGCCUACACAUGCAAGUCGAGCGGAUGAAGGGAGCUUGCUCCUGGAUUCAGCGGCGGACGGGUGAGUAAUGCCUAGGAAUCUGCCUGGUAGUGGGGGAUAACGUCCGGAAACGGGCGCUAAUACCGCAUACGUCCUGAGGGAGAAAGUGGGGGAUCUUCGGACCUCACGCUAUCAGAUGAGCCUAGGUCGGAUUAGCUAGUUGGUGGGGUAAAGGCCUACCAAGGCGACGAUCCGUAACUGGUCUGAGAGGAUGAUCAGUCACACUGGAACUGAGACACGGUCCAGACUCCUACGGGAGGCAGCAGUGGGGAAUAUUGGACAAUGGGCGAAAGCCUGAUCCAGCCAUGCCGCGUGUGUGAAGAAGGUCUUCGGAUUGUAAAGCACUUUAAGUUGGGAGGAAGGGCAGUAAGUUAAUACCUUGCUGUUUUGACGUUACCAACAGAAUAAGCACCGGCUAACUUCGUGCCAGCAGCCGCGGUAAUACGAAGGGUGCAAGCGUUAAUCGGAAUUACUGGGCGUAAAGCGCGCGUAGGUGGUUCAGCAAGUUGGAUGUGAAAUCCCCGGGCUCAACCUGGGAACUGCAUCCAAAACUACUGAGCUAGAGUACGGUAGAGGGUGGUGGAAUUUCCUGUGUAGCGGUGAAAUGCGUAGAUAUAGGAAGGAACACCAGUGGCGAAGGCGACCACCUGGACUGAUACUGACACUGAGGUGCGAAAGCGUGGGGAGCAAACAAUUAGAUACCCUGGUAGUCCACGCCGUAAACGAUGUCGACUAGCCGUUGGGAUCCUUGAGAUCUUAGUGGCGCAGCUAACGCGAUAAGUCGACCGCCUGGGGAGUACGGCCGCAAGGUUAAAACUCAAAUGAAUUGACGGGGCCCGCACAAGCGGUGGAGCAUGUGGUUUAAUUCGAAGCAACGCGAAGAACCUUACCUGGCCUUGACAUGCUGAGAACUUUCCAGAAUGGAUUGGUGCCUUCGGGAACUCAGACACAGGUGCUGCAUGGCUGUCGUCAGCUCGUUCGUGAGAUGUUGGGUUAAGUCCCGUAACGACGCAACCCUUGUCCUUAGUUACCAGCACCUCGGGUGGGCACUCUAAGGAGACUGCCGGUGACAAACCGGAGGAAGGUGGGGAUGACGUCAAGUCAUCAUGGCCCUUACGGCCAGGGCUACACACGUGCUACAAUGGUCGGUACAAAGGGUUGCCAAGCCGCGAGGUGGAGCUAAUCCCAUAAAACCGAUCGUAGUCCGAUCGCAGUCUGCAACUCGACUGCGUGAAGUCGGAAUCGCUAGUAAUCGUGAAUCAGAAUGUCACGGUGAAUACGUUCCGGCCUUGUACACACCGCCCCACACCAUGGGAGUGGGUGCUCCAGAAUAGCUAGUCAACCGCAAGGGGGACGGUUACCACGGAGUAUUUAAGUGG